rnacentral:ncRNA from 2 species
GGUUAUCAUAUAUGUUUGGGAAUUGGCCCAAUCGUUUCUACCCCGUUACCGAAAAUAACGGGACUAUGAUAGACGCUUUUUU